UACGUAGGGGGCAAGCGUUGUUCGGAAUUACUGGGCGUAAAGCGCGUGUAGGCUGCUUCGCAAGUCGGGUGUGAAAGCCCUGGGCUCAACCUAGGAAGUGCACUCGAAACUGCGGAGCUGGAGUCCUGGAGAGGAAGGCGGAAUUCUCGGUGUAGAGGUGAAAUUCGUAGAUAUCGAGAGGAACACCGGUGGCGAAGGCGGCCUUCUGGACAGUGACUGACGCUGAGACGCGAAAGCGUGGGGAGCAAACAGG
rnacentral:rRNA from 1 species